rnacentral:rRNA from 1 species
UACGUAGGGAGCAAGCGUUGUUCGGAUUUACUGGGCGUACAGGGCGCGUAGGCGGCGCGGUAAGUCACUUGUGAAAUCUCUGAGCUUAACUCAGAACGGCCAAGUGAUACUGCAGUGCUAGAGUGCAGAAGGGGCAAUCGGAAUUCUUGGUGUAGCGGUGAAAUGCGUAGAUAUCAAGAGGAACACCGGUGGCGAAGGCGGCAUCCUGGACCAUGACUGACGCUGAGGAGCGAAAGCCAGGGGAGCAAACGGG